UCGCAUCUAAAAACAAAUCUAAACACUCGAAUACUACAAUCGAUCGUGUAGGAUGUAUUUCCUACUACAUCUUGGACAUUAGUGUACAAAAAAAGUGCCGGCCGCCACCGCCAAGACCGAUCGCUUAGACAUUACCUUGGCGAGGCUGCCGGUGAUAUGGGGAACCAUGGUGUUGUGAAGUGAAACUGUAGUGGUAAUAAAAGAAGAUGGCGGCGCCAGCACCAGCGGCGUCGUGCAUGAGCACCGAGCAUGGCUGCGUCAUGUUCGACUGUCUUGUCCACCUGUGGGAAUGGCUUGACCCACCAGUCGUGCAGUCGCAAUAUCCAAUGGAGAAUAAAAAACAAGCCCCGGCGACCCAGCAGCCGCUCACACAACAACAUCUAAUGGCUCAUCAUGUCCAUCCAGACCAGAUAUACGCCACUCAGAACACACAGCUCGCUGCGCACCUCACGUCCGCGCAGGCUGGCCAGAUACAGCCUAAUGGCGUCAUGCAUCAACUCCUCCAAAGUCAAUACCAUUCAAACAUGAACGCGCGGUCGCCGCUUCUCGAAAACAGACACGACCUUUACGGCACAGGACACAACCACGAAUACGCGAGGCAUUAUGGAGCCAACGACAAUUACUACCCACAGUCGCCGCCCAGAAUGGAACGCAACGAAGUGCACACAGACCACAACGUCAACCACGAACUACUACAAAACAUCCCAAAAGGAUACAACGCGGAGGUGUAUCAGGACUAUUUAAAACGUAACCCACCGAGAGAUACCAAUCAAAUAUACCAAAAUCAUCAACCUAUGUAUAGACCUAAUGUAAAUCAGUAUGGAUCUAAGCCGUAUUUGCCAUAUUCAAGUAGAAUAGGACCACAGAGUAACACAGAAAUAUUACGGAGACAGUAUAAUGAGAUUCAGCAAAUGAAGCUACAGCAGCAACUUCAUUACCAGAAUCAGGCGCAAAUGCAACAACAACAGAAGUUUGCGGAGCGACAGUUGCUGCUUCAGCAAAUUCACGGCGUUCAACCACCGCCCAACUUGCAAAAUAGUAUAUAUUCCGACGAAUCUUACAGAGACCUAGAUCGAUACGGUAGUAAAAAUGACUUUAAAGAAUAUAGCAGCCCUGAUUUGCAAAAAGAUAUAGACAGGUAUGCCAAAAAUAAUGAGUACAGAGACAUUGAACAACAAAAUAGGCAUUACGCUGAAUCACAGUGGCAGUCGAAUCAACAGACUGAUUUUAGGGAAAUUGAAAGACAAAGACGACAGUCUGAAGGUGAUAAAGGGAAGAGCCAGUCUCCGCCGUCAGAUUUAAAUAAUCAAAGUCAGAAAAAUAAUAUUGGCGUUAUUUCACCUAUGAAGUCCAGUGAAUCGAGCUCCCCUAGUGUCAAGUCACCUUCUUCGGACAGUCGGAGAAGUAGUGGUGGAAAUCAGGCACUACGUUCGCCCAUUGCACAGAGGAUACCUACAGCACCGGUAACGAUGUCGGGUAUUCUCUACAAGCAAGGUUCUGACGGACUUAAAGUUUGGAGGAAAAGAUGGUUCGUGUUAUCGGAGUAUUGCCUAUUUUAUUACAAAAGUCAAGACGAAGAAAAACUUCUAGGUUCGGUGCUUCUACCAUCUUACAAAGUUUCUGCUUGCACAGCGGAGGAUAAAGUUUUAAGGAAAUUCGCCUUCAAACUAGAGCACGCCAAUAUGCGGACUUACGUACUGGCUGCACCGGAUCAAGAGUCCAUGUUGAAUUGGGUCAAAUCGUUGACUAUGGCCGCUCUGAUGCAAAGUCCCAACGAGCAACCACAAAAGCAAAGUGACCGUACAGCUGCGAAAACAGAGGAAGGUGAUGACAUACCGACUUAUGCUAAUGCCCCACCAAAACCGAGACGGUCCAACGAAGGAUACAACUCGCCCAGCCCAGACAUGUACGAUCCAAAUUACGAUCUACUAAAAAAGCCAGCUUCAUCUCACUACAGUCAAGGCCCUAACCAUCCUCGUUACCAGGAGCACACAAAUUAUGGAAGCCCUAAUCAAGAGAGCACAUACACUCUUAGCCCGCAGUCACCUCCUCCUCAGCAGCCUGUGUAUCAAGCGAAACGACCUUAUGACUCACACAAUUUAUCUCUCCCUCUGACUAACUCUGCAAAUGAUAGACAAGAUAACAAUCAACCUAACACAUCAAAUAUGUACAGAUCUAAUCCGCAGUCGCCUUACUUUAAUAAUAGGACAAGAAACCAGCAGCAACAACAGGUACCACAAGAAAUGAAACAAGAUCAGAUAUACGACCGACAACCGCAACGCAAUCCUUUCCUCCAAGACAACACGCCACAGAUGGAAACACCACCUAAAGAAAAUGAAGCUCAAAUUAAAAAUAAUCGAAUGCAUAUGGAGCAGGAUAGGAUGCAACAAAAUUAUAAUAAUGAAACAUACGGCGAAACACGUUCUAACCAAAAGAUAAAUGCAGAAAUGAAUCCAUACAACAGAGAGGUUUACGGAGAAUUGAAUUCAAGGCCAAAUAAAGUGCAAGCUGGAAUAAAUGAACGGCUGCUUAUUGAAAGAAGAACACCUGAUGCUUAUGGAAGAUCUAAUACUAUGGCCGCUUAUAAUAAAUCAGGCCCAAAGGUUGGAGAUUAUGAAGACGUCUAUGGAACUUACGCUGUUGAAAAUGAGUACGGAAAAGCGUAUGCCAAAUCGCCAAACACAACUCAGUCUAAUCAUCAACAAUCAGCAGAAUAUGGCACGGCUUAUCCCCAGGAGAAAACCUUUAGCGGCCCUGCAAUUUUAAGGCGAAAGAAAAUGCAAUCCAGUGGAAUACAACCUCCUAUGCCAAGACCUCACAGCGCCGAUUUCUUGGAAUACGAAUCCAAGAAUGAAAUGUUGAAUAAAACGAUGCCAACUCGGACUACGGCCGACCCGCCCAAGCAACCGCAACGACCUAAAUCUAGUCUCGAUAUAAACUCGUACUACGACCCUAGUUCAGAUAGAUAUUAUUCCGAAGAGAGCUAUGCAGAGAAAAUGCGACAGUCCGCGCAGUAUUUGCAAGCAGGAAUGGCGCCAAGAAAUAUACAAAUACCAUUAGCGAAGUAUGCAAGCGGGUUAGCCGAAAAGCAAUUAAGCUCAGCAUAUUCACAGAUCACUAAUAACAAUUACGAGCCGGAGUUUAGUGCUAACAAGGUUCCUCGCGAAAACGCUAGUUUCAGUGCAAAGUAUGGAGAUCUAGAAGGGCUAAAUUCAAAUUGGACUUUGAAAGAGAAAAAUCUUGAAAACCAGAAGGAAUAUUUGUACAGAAGUGGAAGUGUUAUGAGCGAUGGUUCCAAUGUUAGCGCGUAUACUAAGGAUAUGAAUCGGUUUGAACAAUCAGCGGACAGUUUUAUGCGUUCGGCUAGUGCACGGCUACCAUCAUCUGGUAAUGAAAAAGAGGGCGAAAAGAAAGUUCAACAGGUAAAUGAUUAUCCCAGAGAAGAAUCAAUGAAACGUUUGCUGGAGUGGAAGCAAAGAAUGCUUCAGUCUCCUUUGACGAGAAAGAGCACACCAGCUACGAUAUCGUUGGCUCGAUCUCUAAAUCAAAGUCGGCAGUCCUUGAGAUCGGAUCAGUACAAGUCUAAAACGUAUACAAAUGCUUCAUAUAACAGUUACUCUUCGGACGAUGAAGCUUCUAUGACAAUGGCAGGCACAAAUAUGGAUCCAGGCUCAAAUAAUAAUACAGUAAAUCAGCAAACAUUGUCAAAGAAAGCAUUUCUCGGAAGUAACACAUCAAUAGGAAGGACUAAUAGAGACACCAAUAUACCAGUACGUGCUGUGAGCCCCAGAGUGAGAUGGGUGGAGGAAAAACCAAUCAAUGACACUUAUGGGUCACAACAGAUGUCUAAUUCACAACAAAAUUUACAUACAUUAACGGCUACUGAGGACUCUUGGGCAACUGCUCGAUCCCCAUCUAGAGCUUCACAGCAGCCUAUACGAGCUGUUAGUCCCAGAGUUCGACGGAAUACUGAAAAUGAUGACUUGCAAAGGGAGGGUCGUCGUCAAGGUGAUCAGUUGAGCGAAGUCCCCACAGCUGGGGAGCUUUUGGGUCGGACUCAUGAAGAGCUGGUGCUUCUUCUCAUCCAGUUGAGACGACGUCAUGCAGCAACCCAUCGCGCUAUUGAACAAUGCCGUGCUCAGAUCAGUAGCAUAGAGGACAGCCUCAGCUCUCUCAAAGCAAUGGAAAGAGAAGAGAACUUGCAACGCUUGGAACAACUGCGUAUGCAGCUAAUGGAACUGGAGCACCAAUAUGAGAAGAGUAAACCACUGGUUCAACUGGUGGACAACAUGGUGAAGCUAGGAUCGCUGUACAAUCGGCCUGGUUCAACUGUAGAAAGGCUGGAGAGGAACCAGAGACUUCGGCAGAAGGUCCUAGCUGAACAUGCUUUGGAACAACAACGGUGGUUGGAAAGUGCUGCUGCAGGGAAGCCUUUGGAGACUGAAGCAGCAAGGGCAAGAGUGGCAGAAUUGUGGGCUUUGGAGCAAGAGCUAGCAGACGAGGCGGCCAUUCUGCAAGGCUUGAAGACUGAUAAGGACGCUAUAGAAUCCUUGCUGACUGGUGUUCGCGGCAAGCUAGACAGUGUGCCUCGAGGAGACUUACCACCCCGCGUGGUCAACCAACCACCGCCUCAGGCCCCUGGUCUCGAGGCAGAACUGGCCAGAGUGCACGCUAUGCUGGCACACAAUUCUAAGGUUUAUAAGAAACUCGAGCAGACCGUGGCAGACAACGCCCGCUUGGAGCGGGAAUUGCAGCAGCUACGUCGUGCUUUGCAGGCCAGGCGUGCUGCGGUCCCAGCUCAUCCGACUGCUAUGCUUGAAGAUGAGGUGUCCCGCGUACAACAGCUGGUGUCGGCUCUACAGCGGCAGCGACAAGAGCUCAGCCGCGCCGUGCGCCACCUCACGCAGCAGUCACACGCGCUGCAGACCACGCACGACUCCAUGCCUGGUAAACGCCGCCCCCAGUCCUCUUGGCAAGAGACGAACCUCGACACUGGCCAUACCAUCGACCACGGCCAGUCGGACUAUGACUACGAGAUGACGGGGCCUCUAUUACCACCAGGCCACUAUGACCACAACAUGGAGACGCCUCUGUAUGUGGACACGAGGGCCGGUGGCGGUGACGUCACCUCCCCGCUGAAUAGCGAGGAUAUGCAGCAUGGUGGAUUUGGAAACCUGUCCAACGUAGAGAAGCAAGAGAUCAAAACGGUCCGCAUAGUAAAGAGGGAGAGCGAACGUCGCCAGAGGGACAGGGAGCGGUCUCUUCAACCGAUGUCUGACUGGCCGAACCACAACAUCACCGCCAACCUCGACCAGUUCAUCGAAGAAGAGCUAGUCACAUCCUUGAACUACGCCAGAACAUCUUCCGUUCCGAUGAACGAUUACAACAAACUCGAGGAUUACUGCAACACGCAAAGGGUUCAGCAAGAACCACCGAACUACCUCCGUCUGAACGACAGAAAUAUGGAGCUCAGUCCCAAAUACCCCUCAAGUCCUUCUCUCUCCAAUUACGACUAUUCCCGAGACAUGUCGUCUUUAAGCAGUAGUUACCAGAAGAGUUACGAUAGAUCUCUCUACGAUAGGACAGUGUCUUUGUCCACCCAGUACCUGAAUAGCCCGACGGAUAGCUCGAGGACUUUGACUAACGACCCGAUGUCUAAGACCAGUAGUAUAGUCAGCCUGACGAGGUCUCAUAUGGAGCUGUCGCCGAUCUUCAAGAGUGAGGCGGCGAAGCAGAUAAUAACGGAGAUGUCAGGGGAGCCGAAGACCGGGUCGCUGCAUCGGAGGCAGGUGCCCAAGGAGAAGAGGCGCCAUUACACCGCGCCUCACCAUCUGAGCGCGAAGACUCUGAACGAGCUGCCGAAAGAUGCAUACAAUCAAGACAAAAUGGGCCGUUCCCUCGACGACGCGGACAUGGAGCGCGCGCUGCGCACUGCGCCCGCGCCCGACGUGGUCCGCUCGGCGUUGCCAGCGCAGGCCACUCGCCUCGCAGACUCCACCAUCGACCAGCUGCUGGCCGCGCCGCAGAAGAUACUCAUCCCGGAGCGGUACAUCCCCGAGAAGCCUCCAGAACUGUCUCCCGAAGAACAGCAGAAGCGUCAAGAAAAAGUGGAAUCCAUCAAGAAGAUGCUCACGAGUUCCUCAGCUGAUCCGAGCAAGAGCCCGGACUGCGAAGAGAAGCGGCAGCGGGAGCACUUGCUCCAAAUGAACCAGAUUCUCGCCAAGCAGGUCACGGAAAUGAGCAAGAUCAUCGCAGGAACCAACACUGAGCAAGGGCCGUCCACCGCGAACAACUGACUUACCCACACGCACACAUAACUAUCACACUCUAAGCACAUAUCACACAUUAUCAUAGACUAAGCUAUCUCCCAAAGUCGAUGUUGCUGCCUGGGCGGUCCUUAGAAGACUCCUGCUAUCCUGUGUUGCAGCAUGAUAACGUUUUUUGCAUUCCGUUUGAAAGCGUUAGAAGAGCUGCCACAAAACACUAAUGAUGACUUGGACGACCGGUCACCAGACGUCGAACUACCAAUUUACCAACAAAGAGACAAUUUCUUCACUUAGAAUAUACGUGAUUACUCUUGAAUAAUAACCACACUUAUAUGGAAAAUACUUGACAAUGCAUUUGUAAUAAUGGAAAAAUAUCAGAGGCAACAAGUAAUUACCCAAGAAACGCCUCAAGGUACACAUUAUAUUUAUCAAAUGCAGCUAUAUCACCUUAAAAGGACCUAUUUUUAUCAUUAAGAGCUUUGCGUGGUCCUGGUCCUAUAAUGAAUAUUUGUACGUAACUUGAUAUUAGAUAUUCAUCGACUGAUGAUAACUGAAUUUAUUCUUUGGCAAUUAUUAGUACCCUAACGAUUUUACGUGAUCUAGUGGUCACUCUUUGAAUGUGUAAUCAAAUUCUAUGGGCUUUAAUAUAUUGUAAGCGAAAGUAGUAUGUUCAAUUACUAGAAUAAAACUGUAUUUGUAGGCUACUCAAAAUGUUUAUCUCAGUAGGGUACAAUCUUGUAAGUAAAGGAUACGGCUUUAGCGCAAAGGCCCGUAUUUCAAAACGGCGCUCAAAAUUGAAUUCAAACUCAAGCUCAUGUAGGUACAUGAAAUUCUGUCUGUAUGUCUCAUAAUAUUAAAAUUCAAACAAUCAAAGGUUUAAAUCACUCAUUGAGAUUGAGUAUAGUUUUGAGUGUCAUUUCGGAACACGAAUCAAAUGUAACGAUCUCGACUGAUUUUGAAAAUGAUUCCCCAACUGAAACUAAGAUUAAUGUUCAAAAUGAAACAUCUUUUUCAUUCACCAGAUAUAGUGAUGUAAUUUUGAAUUCGAAACUAAAUCGAUAUCGUGAGCUGGCACGAACAAAUCUGAAAGUUCAAUUAUUUUGUUCUUCCAUUAACGCUUUCUGUGACAGUGAAUUGCUAUAGCAGUCACAACAAUUAAACUUCUAUUGUGUCUGGGUUACUGUCCUUGAAAGUGUUAAUCUGAUUUUUUACCUUUAACACAGUUAUUAUUAUUUAAUUAUGUAAACAAAUCAAACUUCCUCUGAAUCUUCCGCUAACAGUCGAACCAAACAAUUUGUUAAAUCGAAUGACUGAACUUCUGAUUUGCAGUAUGAAUCCGCAAGUUGGAAUUAUUUGAUUUAUGUAACUUUGUUGAGUUGAUUAUUGAACGCAUUGGAUUGUAUUUGAAUUUAAGGGUCCGCUGACCCUUAAAACUUGGUCAAAGUCGUAACAUAGCAACCUUGAAGUGUCUUAAUCUUUCCCCAAAUAAUGAAAUUAGUAAAUCAUUAUUACUUCUUUUCAAGAAAGUAACUAAUUUGUAUAAAAGCAAAAUGAAAUUCUCUGUGGAGCUGAAAAAUAAAUGAAAAUGGUUUUUUCCCUUUUGAAAUAUUUAAAUGAGCACAAAAUUGAAUUAGGACCAUCUUUGGAUUUAAAAAAGUAUACUCAAGCUUAAAAAUAUGCGCUUUUGUUAUAAAAGUGUGUGUAUAUUUUUGAGUACAAGUCCUAAAAGUCUUUCCCAGUUACUCGAAUUAAGAACUUUGAAAAGUAAAUUAUAGGAUUAUGAAAAUUGACUUUGUGCAGAGUGCCCGAGUGUAUUUUCUUUACUUAGCUCAUGUUUAGAGAUAUUUUAGUAAAUUUUGACGUAACUUAGCUAUUGUUGAAAUGUUAUUUGGACUGGUAUGGUACUCUAGCUUUGCACAUAUCCUGUAACGCCAUAUCUAUCUAAUGUUAAAUACUGCAUAGUGACUUAUCGGUUUAUUUUUAUAAUCUUUGCUCAAUUUUAAAAACAUUCCCUCGAGUAUUUUUUUUAUUCUUUAUAUCUGUUUCAUUACAUUAAGUUUUAGGCCAGUUAAAUGUUCAAAGUAGAGAAAAAUGAAAGUAAUUGUACUAAAAGUCUUCUAUGUAAAGGGCCUUCAAUUGUUACUUUAGAUUUAAGUAUAUUUAUAGAAAAAUGUACUAAUUAGCUCAUAUUUUAAGACGAUGCCAUGUUAAUCAAUUAAAACAAUUAUAC